rnacentral:rRNA from 1 species
GAUGAACGCUGGCGGCGUGCCUAAUACAUGCAAGUCGAGCGAACAGACGAGGAGCUUGCUCCUCUGACGUUAGCGGCGGACGGGUGAGUAACACGUGGAUAACCUACCUAUAAGACUGGGAUAACUUCGGGAAACCGGAGCUAAUACCGGAUAAUAUAUUGAACCGCAUGGUUCAAUAGUGAAAGACGGUUUUGCUGUCACUUAUAGAUGGAUCCGCGCCGCAUUAGCUAGUUGGUAAGGUAACGGCUUACCAAGGCAACGAUGCGUAGCCGACCUGAGAGGGUGUUCGGCCACACUGGAACUGAGACACGGUCCAGACUCCUACGGGAGGCAGCAGUAGGGAAUCUUCCGCAAAGGGCGAAAGCCUGACGGAGCAACGCCGCGUGAGUGAUGAAGGUCUUCGGAUCGUAAAACUCUGUUAUUAGGGAAGAACAAAUGUGUAAGUAACUAUGCACGUCUUGACGGUACCUAAUCAGAAAGCCACGGCUAACUACGUG